CCUACGGGGGGCAGCAGGCGCGAAACCUCCGCAAUGCACGCAAGUGCGACGGGGGGACCCCAAGUGCCACUCUUAACGGGGUGGCUUUUCAGGAGUGUAAAAAGCUCCUGGAAUAAGGGCUGGGCAAGACCGGUGCCAGCCGCCGCGGUAACACCGGCAGCUCGAGUGGUAGCCGCGUUUAUUGGGCCUAAAGCGUCCGUAGCCGGUCCGAUAAGUCUCUGGUGAAAGCCCACAGCUCAACUGUGGGAAUCGCUGGAGAUACUAUCGGACUUGAGGCCGGGAGAGGCUGGAGGUACUCCCAGGGUAGGGGUGAAAUCCUAUAAUCCUGGGAGGACCACCUGUGGCGAAGGCGUCCAGCUGGAACGGACCUGACGGUGAGGGACGAAAGCCAGGGGCGCGAACCGGAUUAGAUACCCGUGUAGUCC
rnacentral:rRNA from 1 species